ensembl:lncRNA
AUCCCAGCUCUCAGGACCCCUCUGGCUUCUCCAGUGUUUCUAUGGAAGCUGAAUGGUGGGAUGAAGGUGUGGAGUGCUGUCUAGGGAGGGUCAAGGAGAACAGGAAAGAAGACUCUUGAGAGUCCCUUGGACUGCAAGGAGAUCAAACCAGUCAACCCUAAAGGAAAUCAACCCUGAAUAUUCAUUGGAAGGACUGAUGCUGAAGCUGAAGCUCCAAUACUUUGGCCACCUGGUGUGAUGAGCCAACUCAUUAGAAAAGAGGCUGAUGCUGGGAAAGAUUGGAGGCAGGAGGAGAAGCAGACGACAGAGGACAAGAUGGUUGGAUGGCAUCACUGACUCGAUGGACAUGAGCCUGAGCAAGCUUUAGGAGAUAGCAAAGGACAGGGAAGCCUGAAGUGCUGCAGUCCAUAGAGUCUCAAAGAGUUGGACACGACUGAGCAACUGAACAACAACAGGAAGCUACUAAACAUUGUAGUCCAACUCCAUACACUGUACAACCUGAUCACGUUAAGAUGAAUACAGAUGCAACUUCCUGUUGCAGUUGAAAUAAGGAUGAUUCAGGUGGCCUCCUGGGAUCCAAACCCCAAAGCCUGUAGUACAUAAUUAUGUCUCCUAUCUCUAGAGACACCCAGACCAAGCUUCCUGGGAGUAUCUAAGCCCACCCCGCCACUCCAUCACAGACACACAGAAAGUACUCUUCUUACUCUGGGCAUGUCUGAAGGCCCAUCAGUCACCUAAGAAUUGGAGAACUUUCUAGGGGCCUCUGCAUGUGUGACUAUUUUAUAUUCUGCACUUCUAAUCUUGCUUGGUGAAGCUUGUACUGCUGAAAAGCAGCUUAUGUCGCUCUUUUCAAAAUAAAGUCUUUUUUAAAAGUAAUAUUUCUGAUUUUUAGUGGGUAAUUCGCAUACUUGCCCCGUCCCGGUCCUCCCUGGACGUUGUUCUUGUGUACCUAAAUGCCAUUAG